GGUGUCCUCAGCAGAGCCGGUGGGGGGAUCAUCCCGGGAGGCUGGCUGUGCAGGGUAGUGAGGGGCACGGCUGGUGUGGGGUGGUUUCAGCUCCUGGCGCUCCCUGCUUUUGGGGAACACCGCCCUGUUGGUUCCAAGUAUGCUUUGGUUCCUGUCCAAGCCCACUUGGGCUGCUCCCUUUGCUAGGAGAUCCCGGCCCCUCUGAAAGGUGUGCUGCUGCGGGCCCCAGCACGGGGGAUGCUGGAGCAGCUGGUGGCUGUGUGGAAGAGAAGAAGCACUAGGAACCCUGGAGGGCAUGGGGCUCAGACCUUCCUGGGGCGUCUGCUGGGGAAGAAGGUCUCCCUGGGAUCAGGGGUAGCCUCACGCUCUGCCAAGGGGAGGAGCCUGGGCCCUGUGCCCACCCCUGGGAGUGCUCAGCUGGACCACUGAGUGGGGUCAGGGCCUCCCGGGGGCAAUGAGAGGCCCGGCCAUGCCCUACAGACAGGCACGGGGUGGAAAAAACCUCGCUCACAGGAGGCCUGGGUGGGGCCCUCGCCACUCUGCUUGCCCGGCCGCCCUGGCCUCAUCCCUGCCAAGCCCUGAGUCAUCAGUGGGAAAGUGAGGCAGGGCGAGUCCUGGCAGGCGGGGGCAGGGGGCCCUGUUCAGGUGAGAAGGGUGGGGCGGAGGCGCCGACAAGAACCAGCCUGUGGCGGGGACUGGGGGUGGCAGCAGGGAGCCUCCGGAAGCGGGGGUCUGCAGCAGGGGGAGCGGGCAUUGCACGCUGACCUGGAGGCCCUCUCCCAGAGCUGGGGGUGCAGAGGCGCCUUGGUGGUGGGGCCAGCAGGCCUUGUGCAGGGGCCCUGGCAGACCCUGGCCCACUGUGCACCUCGCUGCAGGAGUCUGGGGUGCCCCUCCCGGCCGCCGGAGUGUACCGCCUGGGACACGGCUCACCCUCCUGAUCGGAACCUGGUGCCUGGAAGACGUCCCAGCUCCCUGGAGGCGCGCCCUGCACCAUCAGGCAUCUCCUGCCCAUCCCCACACUCCCAGCCGGGACCCCUGCGCAGGACAGGCGGGGGCCCUUGUACCCCCACUGCCCCCCAUCCUGGGGACUCUCCCUGCUCCAUCCAGACCGCAGAGCUGCUCUGCUCCUCAGCCAUGGCCCCCGUCACCGCCUGGGGUGGCCACUCCCGCUGUUCAUAUGCGCCACUGUCCUGAGUCCCUGGGACUCAGUAGGUGCCUUGUCAUCAUGACGGUGACUGAGCUGACUCCACGGGCCCACGUCAGCACAAGGAGUCAUCCAGCCACGGAGGCUGUGGAUUCAGAAACAGACAUCCAUUCACUGAGGCAAAUGUGAAAGGACAGAAAGUUAUAAAGAAGGAAACAGACAUCACCUUGGUGUUCCCAUCUUUCAGAGAUAACCUUUGUUAGCAUCUCGUGGUAUUUCCCUCUACCUUUACUCCUGUGUAAAUAUAUGUAAUACUUAAUUAUCACGUGAUUUGUAAUAUGUAAUUACUUUUCACACACAGGGUCAUACUGUGUGUAUUCUAUAUCUUCAUUUUUAAUGUAUAAAUCCACUGAGUUAUGAGACCAUGACAUUAAGUAUUUUAAUGCCUGUGUGUUUAUGGUCUGCUGUUGUUUAUUUGCCAUCCAGCCCCUCAUUACUUGGACAACCCCACAUCCUUUUUGUUUUUAUCUCUGUGUAUAUAAGCAUGCAAUGAACAUUUGCCUAUUUGAAUCU